AAGGAAUAUUACGGAAACCUACACACGCGUCGAAACUUUGUUUAUUUUUGAGAGUUUUAACUCUCAAAACUUGUUCUUUGAAAACUAGAUAAUAUCAAAUAUAUUUUUUCAUAAUGAAACCGAGAACACCGCGUUUUUUGAGUUUUUUAUUGAAGUUUAAUUAUCGCUAAACUCAUUAAUCGCAUUUACCGUU
rnacentral:misc_RNA from 1 species